GCAUAGAGAAAGAAAUUCAACAAGAGGGGACACUCGGCAAAAACUGGCAACAGGAAACACGUCACCAUACGUCACGCUAUACUUUUGACACCGAACGUUAGCUGCCGCGAGCAUCGAAAAAAAAGAAAGUGAACUUAAGUUAACAGGCAUUGAUUUAUUUUUUUAAUUCUUUGCCGCGAAAACUAAAACGUUUUGCGUAUAAAUGAACUUAAGCUUUGCGACUUAUUUUCCUUGCCUUACCUAGCCACAGGUCAAUGACGCGCCAGAUACAUGCGUCAUCCGCCAGACACUCCCCCGAAGCCAGCGAGGAUGGCUGCGCGCGCGUUUGAGCGCUCGCGCGCGGCGACCCGUCUGUCUCCUUCUUUUUUUCUUUUUUAAAUGUAACCUGGUUUAUUGGGCUCCCGGCGUAUUCUUGCGUUCCUUCUGCACUGGGACAAGACACCACUGCACUAUUGGACUACGGCAAGCUGGUGCCGUCCGGUGGAGCUUCAUACAGGAACUACUGCCUUACCUGCUGGUGUCACAACGUUGGAUGAACGCACAAAAAGCGCGGAACGAGCUUUUAUAUAGAGCAAAAUAAAUAUUUCCUCAUUGCACAAAA